AAUAUCAAGAUCAUUAUCAGAAGAGGGAAGAACAGACUGAGAAUCAAAUUAGACUCAUUAGGAACCAAAGGAGAUUCAUCACAUACCUCAGGAUGUCUAGGAAUUGAAUCCAGAGUUUCCAAUUGAUCAGCAAUCUCCUGCUCGAUAGCUAUAUCUAUCUUGUUACGCCGAGUAUAUUUUCUCAAAUCUGGCCUAUCCAAUC
rnacentral:misc_RNA from 1 species